ensembl:snRNA U6 U6 spliceosomal RNA
GUGCUUGCUUGGCAGCACACAGACUAAAAUGGGAAUGACACAGAGAAGAUGAGCAUGGCCCCUGUGCAAGGAUGACAUGCAAAUUCAUGAGUCAUUCCAUAUUUAA